UAGGGAAUUUUCCACAAUGGGCGCAAGCCUGAUGGAGCAACGCCGCGUGCAGGAUGAAGGCUUUCGGGUCGUAAACUGCUUUUAUUUGUGACGAUUAUGACAGUAGCAAAUGAAUAAGGGUCGGCUAACUACGUGCCAGCAGCCGCGGUCAUACGUAGGACCCGAGCGUUAUCCGGAAUUACUGGGCGUAAAGAGUUGCGUAGGUGGUUUGUUAAGUGAAUAGUGAAAUCGUGCGGCUCAACCGUAUAUCCAUUAUUUAAACUGGCAGACUUGAGUAUGGUAGAGGUCACUGGAAUUCCAAGUGUAGGAGUGAAAUCCGUAGAUAUUUGGAGGAACACCGAUGGCGUAGGCAGGUGACUGGACCAUAACUGACACUGAGGCACGAAAGCGUGGGGAGCAAACGG
rnacentral:rRNA from 1 species